rnacentral:rRNA from 1 species
UACGUAGGGGGCUAGCGUUGUCCGGAAUCAUUGGGCGUAAAGAGCGCGUAGGCGGUCCGGUAAGUCCGUUGUGAAAGUCAAGGGCUCAACCCUUGAAUGCCGGCGGAUACUGUCGGGCUAGAGUCCGGAAGAGGCAAGUGGAAUUCCCGGUGUAGCGGUGGAAUGCGCAGAUAUCAGGAGGAACACCUAUAGCGAAGGCAGCUUGCUGGGACGUUACUGACGCUAAGGCGCGAAAGCGUGGGGAGCGAACAGG